rnacentral:rRNA from 1 species
UACGUAGGGUGCGAGCGUUAAUCGGAAUUACUGGGCGUAAAGCGUGCGCAGGCGGCUGUGCAAGACAGGUGUGGAAUCCCCGGGCUCAACCUGGGAACUGCACUUGUGACUGCAUGGCUGGAGUACGGCAGAGGGGGAUGGAAUUCCGCGUGUAGCAGUGAAAUGCGUAGAUAUGCGGAGGAACACCGAUGGCGAAGGCAAUCCCCUGGGCCUGUACUGACGCUCAUGCACGAAAGCGUGGGGAGCAAACAGG